GAAAUGCGAUAAGUAAUGUGAAUUGCAGAAUUCCGUGAAUCAUCGAAUCUUUGAACGCACAUUGCGCCCUCUGGCAUUCCGGGGGGCAUGCCUGUCCGAGCGUCAUUACGCACCCUCAAGCCCGACUUGUGUGAUGGGUGCCUGUCCCGCCUCCGCGCGCGGACUCACCUCAAAUCCAUUGGCGGCCCCCGCGUCGGCCACGAGCGCAGCAGAAACGCGAACUCGUGAGCCCGUCCGGGCGGCUCCCAGAAGCUACACCCACCCAGUUUGACCUCGGAUCAGGUAGGGAUACCCGCUGAACUUAAGC
rnacentral:misc_RNA from 1 species